UGCUCCUCCUGCAACUAUUGGUUCAACUGAAGCUGCCAUUUAAUCUUCGAAUUAAUAUUUGUUACUGCUUCCUGCUCCUCCUACAACUAUUGGUUCAACUAAAGCUGCCAUUUAAUCUUCGAAUUAAUAUUUGGUACUAUCGAGCACCUGAAUUAAUAUUUGGUGCAACUAAAUACACCACGACCAUUGACAUCUGUUCUAGGAGAAACUAAAAGAUAAGAAGGCAGAGUAUGAAGCGACUGCUUCGACUGAUAGUUCUGUUAAUUUUGAGGAUAUUGAUAACAGAAUUAUUAAUGAAGUUUUGGGUCCUGAAAGGUAUGGUCGGGUUAGAUUUCAAGGAUCUGGUGUUAACCCGACCCAAUAUUUUGGAUCCACCUUGCACCAAUACAUGCCUUCCGGGAGUCAAAGUCAAGCUGAAGUUCAGAGGCUAAAAGAUCAGAUAGUUCAGAUACAAGCUAGCACAAAUGAGCAAAUUUCUCA